ensembl:lncRNA
GAGAGAGUACAAAGUGUUUUGAAAUCUGCAAAUCAUUAAUGUAAUGGGAGGUGUUACAAUUUUCUCCACUUUUAGUUAAUUGGAAAAUGACGAGCAAAGAGAAGAAUCUUCUUAAAGAGGACUUCUGAGAGCUAAUUUGGUGAUUGUUAGCAUGAAACAGGAGAUGUUCUGCAAUCUACUCCACCUUACUACAAAAUCUGCAUUGUGUCUUCACUUCCAGGAGCAGCUACUCCCUUCUGAACUCCCAUCCUUUACCUCCAAGGACCUUCUAGGACAUCUUGGAGGCAAAGAAGGACAAUGAUCCCAGAGAGAUGGGAAACAAGUCCUAUAACUGUCCCAGUUCACCGUCUACAGAGAAUUUCCAGGCCAUGGUGUGCGGCAGUGGAAUCAAGAUGGAGCGGGGAGGAGAGUUCUCCUUGUAUAUUCAGCUGAGUGCUGACCAGCAAUGGGCAUGUGAGGAAAAAGCCACUUGAAAGAGUUCAGGUGACCGUGCCCAUGCUCACACUGGGAGGCGGAUGGCUCUGUCCCCACCUGCCGGGCUAGAAAACUUCAUGCUGCGAAGUGCACUGGGUAGAGUACUCAGGAGAGUCUUUCCUCAGCAAUGCGGAAUAAUUCAUUCUCCACUGAACAGUGCUUUGGUCUGACAGGACAAAUUUUAAAAAUGAGUCGCAAACGGAUCAAACUCUUUCCAAAUAACUUUAGUCUGUCCCAGAAUAGAGU